rnacentral:rRNA from 1 species
UACGGAGGGUGCAAACGUUGCUCGGAAUCAUUGGGCGUAAAGCGCGCGUAGGCGGCUUUGCAAGUUGGGGGUGAAAUCCCGGGGCUCAACCUCGGAAUUGCCUUCAAGACUGCUUGGCUCGAGUCCGGGAGAGGUGAGUGGAAUUCCCAGUGUAGAGGUGAAAUUCGUAGAGAUUGGGAAGAACACCAGUGGCGAAGGCGGCUCACUGGCCCGCAACUGACGCUGAGGCGCGAAAGCGUGGGGAGCAAACAGG